rnacentral:rRNA from 1 species
AGGGUGAAGGGGUUGCAAUAAACUGGUGGCUGCGACUGUUUAAUAAAAACACAGCACUCUGCAAACACGAAAGUGGACGUAUAGGGUGUGACGCCUGCCCGGUGCCGGAAGAUUAAAUGAUGGGGUGCAAGCUCUUGAUUGAAGUCCCGGUAAACGGCGGCCGUAACUAUAACGGUCCUAAGGUAGCGAAAUUCCUUGUCGGGUAAGUUCCGACCUGCACGAAUGGCGUAACGAUGGCCACACUGUCUCCUCCCGAGACUCAGCGAAGUUGAAGUGUUUGUGAUGAUGCAAUCUACCCGCGGCUAGACGGAAAGACCCCAUGAACCUUUACUGUAGCUUUGCAUUGGACUUUGAACCGAUCUGUGUAGGAUAGGUGGGAGGCUAUGAAACCGGAACGCUAGUUUCGGUGGAGCCGUCCUUGAAAUACCACCCUGGUUUGUUUGAGGUUCUAACCUUGGCCCGUGAUCCGGGUCGGGGACAGUGCAUGGUAGGCAGUUUGACUGGGGCGGUCUCCUCCCAAAGCGUAACGGAGGAGUACGAAGGUACGCUAGGUACGGUCGGAAAUCGUGCUGAUAGUGCAAUGGCAUAAGCGUGCUUAACUGCGAGACCGACAAGUCGAGCAGGUGCGAAAGCAGGUCAUAGUGAUCCGGUGGUUCUGUAUGGAAGGGCCAUCGCUCAACGGAUAAAAGGUACUCUGGGGAUAACAGGCUGAUACCGCCCAAGAGUUCAUAUCGACGGCGGUGUUUGGCACCUCGAUGUCGGCUCAUCUCAUCCUGGGGCUGUAGCCGGUCCCAAGGGUAUGGCUGUUCGCCAUUUAAAGAGGUACGUGAGCUGGGUUUAAAACGUCGUGAGACAGUUUGGUCCCUAUCUGCCGUGGGCGUUGGAUAUUUGAAGGGGGCUGCUCCUAGUACGAGAGGACCGGAGUGGACGAACCUCUGGUGUACCGGUUGUCACGCCAGUGGCAUCGCCGGGUAGCUAUGUUCGGAAGAGAUAACCGCUGAAAGCAUCUAAGCGGGAAACUCGCCUUAAGAUGAGAUAUCCCUGGGGACUAGAUCCCCUUGAAGGGUCGUUCGAGACCAGGACGUUGAUAGGUCGGGUGUGUAAGCGCAGUAAUGCGUUCAGCUAACCGAUACUAAUUGCCCGUAAGGCUUGAUCCUAUAACA